UUGUCAUUAGUUGCUACAUUCAGUUGGGCACUCUAAUGAGACUGCCGGUGACAAGCCGGAGGAAGGUGGGAUGACGUCAAGUCCUCAUGGCCCUUAUAGGUGGGGCUACACACGUCAUACAAUGGCUGGUACAAAGGGUUGCCAACCCGCGAGGGGGAGGCUAAUCCCAUAAAGCCAGUCGUAGUCCGGAUCGUAGUCUGCAACUCGACUACGUGAAGUCGGAAUCGCUAGUAAUCGUGGAUCAGAAUGUCACGGUGAAUACGUUCCCGGGUCUU
rnacentral:rRNA from 1 species